rnacentral:rRNA from 1 species
AACGCGAAGAACCUUACCUAGGCUUGACAUGCAGGGAAAUCUCGUAGAGAUACGGGGUCCGUAAGGGCCUUGCACAGGUGGUGCAUGGCUGUCGUCAGCUCGUGUCGUGAGAUGUUGGGUUAAGUCCCGCAACGAGCGCAACCCUCGUUCUAUGUUGCCAGCGAGUAAUGUCGGGGACUCAUAGGAGACUGCCGGGGUCAACUCGGAGGAAGGUGGGGAUGACGUCAAGUCAUCAUGCCCCUUAUGUCUAGGGCUGCACACAUGCUACAAUGGCCGGUACAAAGGGCUGCGAUACCGCAAGGUGGAGCGAAUCCCAUAAAGCCGGUCUCAGUUCGGAUUGGGGUCUGCAACUCGACCCCAUGAAGUCGGAGUCGCUAGUAAUCGCAGAUCAGCAACGCUGCGGUGAAUACGUUCCCGGGCCUUGUACACACCGACGCGUA